CAAUAUUGCAAAAAAUAAAAUUGCAUUUUAGUUAAAAAUGACAAAUAAUAAAUGCAUGCAAUAAUUUCUGAAUUGACUGUACUUGUAUGGUAAUAGAGUGAAGCAUUACUUCAUUAUUUUGUUUGUUUGUUGAUCCCUGUCUAAAUACACCAGUUGUUCUAAAUUGUACAAUCAAGUCUACCCGACCCUGGUAUAUGCAUUCAUAAAAAAAGAGAAUAGUAAAAUAUGUAUUUUUAUAUGUUAUAGUCCAAUGUAUUAAUAAUAUGUUAAGAGUCUUAAAAAAAAAAAAACUUCUGUUGUUUUUGUGCAGAGCUUAAGUGAUCAUUGGUUUGUCCCCAAAUAUUUUGUUAUAGAAUUGAUGACAAAUAAUAAUGCAGUGAAAAAGAUGAAUAUAUGAAACAAUAUGCACUCAGAUAUUUUAAAUAAUAUAAAGUAAAUAAAUCAGGAUUACCCAUUGCCUUUUCUUUGAUAGGAAUAUUGAAGUGUGUGAACUUAUUGUUUACAUUUUUGAAAAUCUUUUGUAUUUGACAAUUAAACCUGGAAAUUAGAACAUGUUUUACCAAUGUUUUUAUAAAGCACUAUUUUUCUAUAUAUCCUACAUGGACCACACAAGUUUCCAACAUUUCCUUUAGUGGUGACCUACAUUUGUGUGAAUUAGAAUAUAACAAGCAUUAUGUUUGUGCAAAGAAAUAGUUUUACGUUUGCAAGAAGUUUUUAAUCCUGAGAAGAAUAACCUGAAUUUUACUUGGUUUUUUUUUUUUUGGAGGAUAAUGAGUUAUCUUAGGAGAUUAAUGACUGAAAUACUGUUAAUAUCUGGGAAUGGAACAUUCAUAGGAUACAGUCAUGAAUAAAACACAGUAUACAUGAAUAUGAUUAUUAGAACACAUUAAGUCUUGUGGCAGAAGACAACUUUCACCAUUUGUCUGAAGUUCUUAUCGAGUAAUUUUUGACAGACAGGUGGAAAUGUCUGAAGCAUUCUUAUCAUUUCCUUUCCAAUUUGCCGGGUUUCUAAUUUGCGUUCAUCAAUAUCAUGGUUAGGUACAUUUGUACCCGUCAGUUAUACUUUGCAUUCUCAGUCAGCCCAAAUUCUUCAAAUUUGCCUAUUUUUUUGUGCAUUUCCAGGAAAUAUCGUUUUUCAACUUAGAAUCUAAAUGUAAAGUAUAUCAUUAAAAAAUAAAGGAUUUUGUCUUUUAUUUGUCUUGAAGAUAUACAUUUUUGUUUUUUUAAUUAGUCUGUGCAAAAGUAGUGACUUUUCAACAGGUUAAUUUCGUGCAAACGUAAUGCCUUUUAGACAAUUAAGAAUUUCUUUAGUGCAAAAGUAAGAUCUAUUCCCGUAAACUUAAUGUGCCACCUUCUAGCAGUACUAUUUAUGUCUUUUUAAAAUAUCUUAUAUGGCAAAAAACAUACUCAAAAGAAUGGCAAAUUCUGAAAGUUCAAUGAAUAUCGUCUUAUUUUCAAAGUUGAAUUCUCUCUACAUUUGUAAUACAAAAUUGAUAGGCUACUUUUGAGUUAAUGUUUUUAUAAAAAAAAAUGUAUUAAGUUUCUACAUACCCCCUACCCCGUAAAAAAGGAAGAUUUCAAUACCUUAUAACUUUGUAAAUACCACUUGGUGAAUUUUAGUUAAAAUGACCAGUUGCCAAAAAAAAAUGAUUAAUACAUAACAAUUUUCAAGUAAAAUAAUAGGACAAGCUGUAGAAUGUCAAAAAAAAACAAAAAAAAAACGGCUUCAGUGAUGUCUUCUUUUUCGAUAUAAUUUGUUUUACAUGGUAUGUUUCUGAGGCUUUUAUUGUAUUGUCUUUUUGACCCUAAAAAUUUGCAGCAUUCGUUUCCAUUAUAAAAAAAAAGGUUUUGUACAUUUUUCUAUAAAUGAAAAAAAAAAAAAAUAACUCAAUGACAAUGUUUAACAUACUUAAAUAAAAUAUAUCAAUGUUUUUAUAUGAUAUGUCAGAUGUAUUGAUAACAUAUAUGCAUUAAGCUGUUAGAUUUGAUAUUAUAAAGGUUGCUUAAACUUUACAAAAAGUUAUUUAAAGUGAUAUUGACAUGUACAACAAAUAUCAAACUUGUCUGAUAAAUAAGGCAUUUUAAUAUGUGCUUAUAUCUUUUAUUCAGAUUGACAUGCCAUUGGUGUAAAAUGGAUGUUUAUAUGAAUUUGUUUCAUGUUCCUUACAAAGCGUUCCUUUAAAUAUCUGUAUGUUAUUGAAAAAAAAAUAAGAAAUGUGUUAUAGAUUUAAAAGUAUAUUGAUUUUCUGUAUAAUAGACUUUUUAUAAUAUUGAAGAAAGGAUGUUUAUUUUACAUGUUUAUUAUUACAAGUAUAUAUUAUUUAGGUCAGGGAGACCAUACAAUAAUGUUUUCAAGUGUUUAUCAAAAAGUUAUAUUUUGUAAAUAUGCUUGUAAUAACAUGUGUAAUCAUGUAUGAACAAAUAAUUCAGUUUAACAAAACCCUUUAUAUUGAUAUUGCAUUAGUUAAAAAAAAUGUUUUUUUUGUGUUUCUGAAUUUUUUCGAAGCCUUUAAAGAUAUUUUUUUCUUUAAAGCCUUUUUCUAUGUCUCCUGAGUCAAAUUAUCAAGUCUGGCAGGAAAAUAAACAAUUGUCAUUCUUUUCAUUUAGCUUGUGUAAAGAGAAAAAAAUAUGUGUAAAGUAAAUUAUAUAAACAUGUUAUAUUUUCAAGCGUUAAUUUUAAAGUUUCAACUUUCUGAUAAUCUUGUAUUACCCAGUAAUUCUUUAAAUUGUUGCUUCGUUUAUAUUUAGAUACACGAUUUCCCGUGAUUUCUACAUUUAGAUUUUCUUUCAAAAUAUAUUCCUUCUCUGAAUUUGCAGAUUUACAUUGUGAGCAUUUUCUUAACAAAUGUUUUCUUGGAAGAACUUUAAUUUUUCUGGUAUCUUAUUUUGUAAGAAAUAUCCAUUUGUAGUCUCUCUUUUUUUAUUACCUCUGCCUUAUGAUCCAUAUGUAUCUAUUUACCUACAACCUUCUCAUUUUAGAUUUUAAAGAUGUAAUGAAAAUGUAUGGGGUGUCUUCAACUGCCCUCUUGAAAAUGAAUUUAUCAGUACAAUUGAUGUAUUUGUUUACAGUAUGAAUAACUCGUAAAAUUAUACUAAUGAAUUUUAGGAAAUAUAAUUCAACCUUUAUUUGCCAUAACUUUGAAAAAGUCUGUUUGAAAUCUAAACAAAAUGUAAUUCUUUAAAUUGUUUCAUAAAUGUAUUCUAAAUCUAUAAAUGUGAAAUGUAGUUUCUGUUGCUUUAUUACGAAG
rnacentral:lncRNA from 1 species